rnacentral:tRNA from 1 species
GGAGAGGUGCUGGAGUGGUUGAACAGGGUCGCCUGCUAAGCGAUUCUCCGACGAGGAGUCGGAGCGUGGGUUCGAAUCCCACCCUCUCCGCCA